AGGAAAAGAUAAUUUUUCAUCUAAAGAACACCAACAUGGUGCUGUCCAGGCUGCUGCAGCUGGUCAUGGCAUCAAUGUGGCUGGGAUCCAGUUUUGCCCAGAAGGUAGCUCAGGCCCAGCCAGCCGUGUGGGUGCAGGAGAAGGAGGUUGUGAGCCUGCACUGCACCUAUGAAUCCAGUUCUUCAAGUUAUGGUCUCCUCUGGUACAAGCAGCCCAGCAGUGGGGAGAUGGUCUUCCUUAUCCUUCAGAACUCUUACAGCCAGGAAAAUGCCACACAAGGUCGCUACUCACUGAGUUUGCAGACUGCAAGCAAAUCCGUCCAACUUGUCAUCACAGCCUCACAGCUGGAGGACUCAGCGGUGUAUUUCUGUGCACUGAGAGAUGACACAGUGGGAGAACUGUUGGAGGCAGUUGUACAAAAACCCAGGGAAGGAUUCAUGGAAACUCAGUGACCCAGACAGAAGGCCCGGUUACCAUAUCAGAAGGGAUUUUGCUGACUAUAAACUGCACUUACUCAGCAACAACCAUAGCAUACCCUGCUCUUUUCUGGUAUGUUCAAUACCCUGGAGAAAGUCUUCGGCUCCU